rnacentral:lncRNA from 1 species
AGCUGAACUAAACAGCACGAUUUGAUUAGCAGCAAAGAGUGACCGGAUCAAAACUGAUUAACUCAUAACUCAAUCUGCUUUAUCUUCACUGCCAUGUCAGUUCCAGCAGUUGACCAUUAACAUCUUUAAUACCAAGCAGGGUUUGGGUUCACUCAACACUUCCCUACAGCUUUAGGGAAUUCUGUGCUUCACAGCAGUGUCAUAACACAUCUAAAGCAAGCACGGAAGCAGGGGCACUGCUUUAAUGAGGAGGAGCUGUUUGAUGAAGAAGCUCCAGCACUGUAAGGUGCUCAGCAUUUCUGAAAGAUGUCAAACAUUCCUGAAGGAUAAUGACUGCCCUCCAGCGCCGCUGAUGGCAGGGAACAAGAAGCACUCGGUGCCUCACAGUGGAGCUCAGCACCAUGCAGAAUUGAGCCUUGGCUAAGGAAGAAGUCCUACAGAAAAAAAAAGGAACAUGAUGAUUUGACUGAAGAGACCAAUAUACACCUGGAGUAAACUCCUCAGAGGACUUCUCUCCUUGCAAAACAGCAGUGUGUUGUGCACACGGCAGCACUCUGCACAGCCCUUACCACUUGCAGACUUACUUGGCUUGCUCCUCUUGCAUGCUCUUGGGAUCAGGAGUGAAGGCACAGACCUGAAACGUAAUGCUGGCAAUCUUCAGGUGAUGCAUGGCCUACUGCAGCUUUUUGUCAGUAGCGAGGGUGGUUAUUGGUGAUACACCAUGCUGGUAUUAAAUGUGACUUACAACAAAGCCUCAUACCUGUUUGAACUCUGCUACACGUGUAAAGUUUUCACGCUCUUGUAGUUUCAGUGGUGUAAUUACAUUCUAAUGAAAAAAUAUCCAGUGUAAACAAGCACUUGGGGACCACUGCCAGAUGACACAGGUCAGAGAAGCUCUCAUGUUGCUCAAAUCUGUGUCCAAGGCUGGGCAGAGAAUCAGGGAGCUGCAGCUGACUCGCAGACAGUGAUGGAUCUUUUGCUGCACUUGAUCUUAGUGACAUGCUCCAGGGAAUCUACCUGGUGUUUAUCAGAGGUCUUGUGAGGCUGAUGGGUGUCUUAAAGCUCCAGGUGAGAAUCCCACUGGAGGGGAUAUUUGGGUGGAUUUGAAAACCAAUAUAAACUAGAGAAGUUCUCAGUUUCCUUUGCAUCCAUGUGAUACUACCUUAAUACAGGCAGCCCUG